AAUAGAUACCCUGGUAGUCCACGCCGUAAACGAUGUGUGCUAGAAGUCGGGAUAACUCGGUUUCGAAGCUAACGCAUUAAGCACACCGCCUGGGGAGUACGGUCGCAAGGCUGGAACUCAAAGGAAUUGACGGGGACCCGCACAAGUAGUGGAGCAUGUGGUUUAAUUCGAUGCAACGCGAUGAACCUUACCAAGACUUGACAUACUCGGCAAAGCUAUAGAGAUAUAGUGGAGGUUAUCCGAUGUACAGGUGGUGCAUGGUUGUCGUCAGCUCGUGUCGUGAGAUGUUGGGUUAAGUCCCGCAACGAGCGCAACCCCUACCUUUAUUUGCUAACAUUAAGUUGAGGACUAUAGAGAGACUGCCUACGCAAGUAGGAGGAAGGUGGGGAUGACGUCAAAUCAUCAUGCCCCUUAUGUCUUGGGCUACACACGUGCUACAAUGGCCGGUACAAAGGGCUGCAAACUGGUGACAGUAAGCGAAUCCCAUAAGCCGGUCUAAGUUCGGAUUGAAGUCUGCAACUCGACUU
rnacentral:rRNA from 1 species